GAAAGGAGCAUUUCCCAUGCUAUGUGUGUGUCAGUGACGCAUGGAGAGAGGAAAUGCAGCAGUUGCCAGAAGCAGCGCUGAUGUUACUUUAUGUUGUUAUCUGAUGAGAAAACUAAUGAAGCAAAAAUGCUUUGAGCAUGCAAUAAGCCAGCCCCUCUGCUGAGGGAUUACAGCUAAGGACUCUCAAGACCUCAUGUGCACCCAUGACUGUAACCCGUGAGUAAGAGCAUGAAGCAUGCACACAAGGUAUUUCUGGGAAAGCCAGAGGCAGAGGCAGAGGUAGGAGAAGGUAUGUUCAUUAAGUGCCACCACCUGGAGUUAAAGGAACAAGCGCGCUUCUGCUCUUUCACCCUGUCACGAGAAGCUCACUGAGAUGAAGGAAGCGGUUAAGGGUGGAUCGUGAGAAACCAACCUGAGAGCGGAGGGUCAGCCCCUAUGGCACCUGAGCUGUGCGUAUGCCUGGUGCCAGAGCGAACAGCCCCUACGCGUUUGCUCCGAGCCGCAUCCUGUUGUACCUUGCUUUCAGCAGUUUGGCUAAGAAGCUUGCCGCUUUCCUGAAUGAGAUGAGGGGGUGACAGCUGAAGCCAUGGGUCUGCUUCCUCUACUGAGAAAUAUAUCCACAAAUGUUUCACUACUUUAAUACACCUGAAAGGGAGAGCUAAAAAUACAGUGCACUGCAAGCCAAGGAGGCGUGUAGGCGCUCUCUCUUUAAGACUUGAUUUCCUAAGUGAACUGUCAACUCCCGGUGGCUAGAAAAAUCUGCAAACAAUUUCUAGUCACUGAACAAAGCAAAUCUUUGUACUGUGCUGUAAUAGUUCAUUACUAAAUAAAGGCUUCUUUGUUAUGCUAUAAGAAAUAGUG
rnacentral:lncRNA from 1 species